CAAAUUUCUAAUUUUCAUUUCUCCAAAACCCUUGAAAUCGAAUUGAUUUAUGAUAUAACGACGCGAUUCAAUCUUGUUGUGAUCACCAUUCAGUGGAAUUAAUCGAAUCGUAAAGAAGAAAUGGCGUUGACGAAUUUCAUACUGACUGUGGCCGGAGUGAGCGCCGUCGUGUUGUUGCUGCGGAGCGAUGUGAAGCAAUCCGCCACCAUCUUCCGUCGCAACGUCCGCCAAAUCCGAAACUGGCUCGAGGAGGAAUCCGCCUCCGCCGCUAAGGAAAUAGAGAAGAAGGCAAAACCCAAGGAAAUAUCAGAGAAAGAUAUCCCUAAGAAAGACUAAGCACUAGGUUCUCAGUUUAUGCCUAGCAAAGGCAUGUGUUUGAUGUUUUUCAAUUUUCCUAUGUAGCUUCAUGUGAAAUCUUGAUAAUUUUUAUGUUGAUUCAUUUCAUGUGAAAUCCCAAUAAAUCUUUAUGCGCGUAUAAUGGAUAUCUUCUUUUUCAAAGAAACGUUUUGAUCUGGUUUGUGCAUCCUGUUCUUAAUGAAUUUUUUCCCAAGCUCCCGUCUUUUGCUGAUCUUUGGCAUCACGAUUAAGUUAGCCUUUGUGUAGAAUCUCAGGCAGGGGAAGUGGAGAUUUUCUGUUGAGAAAUGCAAUCUUUUUUCCAAGUUGGUUGAGUUUUGGAUUGUCACGGCUCUUUGUGAACGUCACUGGCUUGUAGUUGUGUUUAUCGGUGUUAUGGUUGUGUACACCGGCAUUGGUUUUAAAUCGGAUUUGAUGAUUGACUAUUGGCAAGUUGACAAUGAUGAUGAAUUCAUCUGCGGAACUACCAAAAUCGGAGCUUGUUGAGUUGGUCUGAAUUUGAAAAGAAUUAGCGAUGCGUUAAGCAAGGCAAGAAGUGGAUUUUCAUGGUGAAUAGUGGCAUGCAAGGAUGUUCUUCAUUCUUCUUUUCCAUAUUUUGCCUCAGUAGUUUUACAUAUGAUUAUUAGUUACUCAUAUUGGUAUAUAAAGUGGCAACACAAAUUUUUGACCAA